rnacentral:lncRNA from 1 species
GAGAUAAUCAUUUUGAGACUUUGCCCUGUUCCACCACCUACAUCAACCAGUGUUGAUAUUCCCUCAAAUCCUUGGUAUAUUUCAAGGAUUCUUUUCAUGUGAGUUGUGCAUGUAUCCGUCAUUGAUUUGUUAAAUAUUUCAUUUAUCUGUGGAUCUUUCUUAAAGUAUUCAAACAUUGUUAUUCCAUGAACUUUUUUGAACAGGUCACCCUCUGGAUCAAUAAUUGCUUCCUUAAAAUUCAACCUACACAUUAUAAAAAUACCUUUUACAUAUAUCAACAAGCUAUUAGCAAGUAAUAUUUUUUUCUUUAAAAGAAGGUUAUGUUGUCAUGCUAAACUAAAUUAAAGAGGUGAUAAACUUGUGCGUAUAUUAAAUUAUAGAGUUGAUAAACUUGUGCGUAUAUUUAAUUAUGGGAUCAAAUCACCCAUAUUCAAACUUAGAGGCUCAAUUACAAUAUUUAAUAAUAUUAGGUGAGAUAUAUACAAAAUAACCCAACCUGUCUGUUGAAUUCAAAACUUUUAUAAAGCAUAUCAAAAUUAAAAAUUUCAUAUAAUAGGUCACAAAUUAUUUGACACUCAAUUGUAAUGAUUUUGUUAAAGAGUCCCGCAUUAACAUAAGCUGGUUUGAACAUGUGUUUAUAAGUAAGGACAAUUCUGAUUUCAAAAGUUGGUUUUUUGGGAUUGUGUUAGGUCCAGUCACGAUUUCUAAGGAGGUAUCGGGGCCUCUCCAAGAUUCGUUGGGCCACUUGUUAUCAGGUUUGAAAAUUGCGCUUCUCCCUCUCCCUUUCAAAAUUGUUCAUUCCCAUGAUCGGCUUUUUUUCAACGUGAUUUACGCAGGGCAUUUUUCAGUGUGAAUUAACUCACACAUGCACUUGAAUGAGCAAAAACAAAAGGGAGAAGGACAAUUUUUAUCAGGUUUUCGAUAUCGGGUCACCCACCAUUUAUUCCACCAACCAAGCCCGAUGGUCAUGAGGAAAUGUAUUAAAGAGUCCCACAUCAAACAUUAGAUGACAUGAACAUGCGUUUAUAAUUAUGGGCAAUUUUCACAUCACAAAUUUGUUUUGUGGGGUUUUGUUAGACUCAACCACUCUUUCUAAGAGAUUUAUUUUGACGGUAUUUAAUAAAUUAAUAAGUAAAUAUUUCUCACAAAAAUAAUAGUUCAAGGUCAGAAGAUUGAUAAAUUUCAAUUCUUACAUGUGCUUUUUUUUUUUUUUUUUUUUUUUUUUUUUCUUUUGGUUUUGAGGAAUUAUGUUUUCAUACAUUAGCUUAUUAACUACUCUAUUUGUUGUAAAUUGACUACAUCAAUCAAGUUUUAGAAAUACUUACCACA